rnacentral:lncRNA from 1 species
GUUAAUUAAGGAUUUCUUAGUAAUUUUUAACAAUUUAAUUCAUUUCGAUUUUGAUUUAAGACGAAGUAAACACAUUAAUGGGUCAUUUUGUAUAGAACCCAUAAUUUUAAUACUCACUUCACAACCUUACAAAAAAUCAGAUAACCUAGCUUGAGAUUAAACAAAAAUUAUGCAAUCCGAAGAGUUAUCCUAAAUACCAAAUAAGACAUAAUGCUGCUAAAUUUAGGGUGUGUUUACUUGUAGGAUCAGGGAAUUAAAAUCUAUAAUGGAAAUGAUUGAUGAUGUUUACUUAUUAAUGUAAGAGGGAGACUGAAAAUGAAAAAUGAGGGGCCCAUAUGUUUUUGGGAUUAAGGAAUGAGAGUUUUAUUCCCAUAAGAGAGUUGGAAAUCAAGUUCUCAUUUCUUGAACUUUCCAUUUUACCCCCACUAAAUUUUCAUAGUUUUCAAAUUGCUCAGAAUUAAGUUUCAUCACUUUUUCAUUUUAGACCUUACAAAAUUUUGUAAUAUUACAAAUAGGUCCUUUAUAAUAAUAAUAAUAAUGACAUCAAUAAAUAACAACAACAAUGAUGAUGAUUAUUGUUGUUGUU